GAUAUACUAAGACAAACAUUUGACUGACGUUAGCUACCCACCAUAGCUAACUGUUCCGACUUAUGUAAAGAUUCGACUGAAAGACAAGACUUAGGAACGAAACCCUUAAUUUAAGAAGUUUGCCUUUGAAAGGCCUGGGUAGGGACUAGUGGGGGGUCAGGGAAGGAGUACAGUUAGAAUACUUUAUAUACAUUACAAGAGACACGUUAUUUCAAUAAUUUAUUGAUCUGUCCUCUUUUGUCUGUGAGCCAUUGUUUCCAAGCCAUUUUUAAAUGUUUCGGAAGAAGAAAAUCUGUGUCUGUGAGGUGUCACAAUGUGAGGUAGAACAUUGCUGCUACCUUCCACCAUAUAAUCAAUAGUAUCUGUAAAAUAACACUGACAGCAGUAGCAGAUAGAAAGUAAAAAAUACCAAACUGAAAGGUUUUCGCAAAUAUCGAAAGGGCUGGGUCAUUCACUUGUCCCGUUUGUAACUCUUGCCAAUAUCUGAUGUUUCGUACGUUUACGUUUGUUGGGAGUUGAACAUCUGCACCCGAAACACGGGGACUCCUCUGCAUCCUCUUCGAGCUGCACAGACCAAUGACCAGACACCUCUGAUGUCAUCGCUGGAUUCCACAGCCGUGGCAACUUCAUGGGUCGUGGCGAUGACGGCACCGGUGCCAGGUUGUUCCUGCCCAGCAGACGCUCAUUCCUCCUAUAGCACCUCAUCCAUGAAGCUGGUGUCCAGCCUCU